AAAGGAAGAGAAACCGUGGAGCUAGGAAGUGAUAAAAUUGGGUUCUGAGCACAGGAUUCUAUUUCAGAGCCUGUGUGUCUUCUUGCAGUUUAGACGAUUGAUUCACGCAGGCGAGGAGAGCACACACUUUAUCUCACAUAUUAUUUCUUGGUUUCCUGAUCUAAUUGUCCUUCCCUCACUGUUAAUGGAUAACUGGACUUUGCCCAGGAUAGGCAAGCAGCGAUUUUCUCGCCUGGGCCAACGGCAAAGGCAUUCACGGUGCCGAUGGGGAACGGUGCCAGAUUUCCCAGUAGCGCUCUGGGUGCGGGGCGUCAGCUGCUGGGCUCAAAGGGAGACCUCUGCCCCAGUGGAGGGCAUUAUACGUGUGGCCAGCUGCCUGCUCUUCCGGCCAAGAGAAACACGAUCAGAACAUAAACAGUAUCGUAACAGCACUCCACUCACAAUUGAGCUGGCUCAAAACCAGAUAUCACUAGGAACAUAAGUGCAUAAAAAAAGCAUCGUCCUUGAGGCGGACUGGGGGCUUCCCUGGAGAAUCAGUUUUCCUUUUUGUAUCUGUUUCCUUUGGUAUCCAGAGAAGAAAAAAAAGAAGAAUCAGAUCAGCCAAGCGGGCUGCUGAGAACGGUGACAUGAAUUGCAGGGAUGCAGGAAGUGCUGAAGAUGCUUUCUCAGCUAAGAAUUGGUUAAAGGAAAAUGACCCUCAAUGGAUUGGAAGAUGCCCACUGCAUUGAGGAGGCUGACUCUUCUUUCCGCAAUCUACAGGUUCCAUUGCAAAUCUCUUCUGAAAACACAGACACACCCAGAAAUAACGUGUAACUAGCUAUCUGGGCAUUUCUUAGCCCAGUCAAGUCGACCUCAAAUUAAUCAUCACAGCUACGUUAUACAUGACCCAAAACUCAGUGGCUUAAAGCAAUAGUCAUUUAUUCCCAUGCACCUGUGCACCAUCUUGGUUUGGCUGAUCUGGCUGGGGCUUGGCUGGCUGACUCUGCUUUAUGUGUCCUUCCUCUUCCUCCUGGGAUGGUUGCUUCCGUGGCGAGAGCAGAGGUACAAGAGGGCAGGCAGAGCCACAUGUGGAUUCUGAAUCCUGGGUUGGAACUCACCCCUUGCCAUUUCUGCCCACAUUCCAUUGACUGAAGCAAGCCACGUGGCCACAUCCAAGGCCCAGCAGUGAAGUACCCACCACCCACAACGAGACCAUCGCCAAGACAGGCACACAGGAAACAGUGACUCACUGGGGCCAAUUGUUCAAUCUAUUCAUGGUCACCAACUCUGGCAGUAAACACAAGAGUUGAAAAGAUGCUUGACUCAGGAUGGUCUCAUUUGCGCAAGAGGAAAAGCAGGACUUUCUGACAUUUUCAAAGGACUUCUAAGGAAACCAGGAUGACUAUUUACGUUGAUCAUCACAAAGUGACUCAUACAAGUCAUGUGAUUUAAAAACAGGAAAAUUCAACGCCAAUUGCCUAGACUUAUGACUCUCUGCAUCACCAUAGCAGCUGACAUGACAUAGCAUUUUUGAGUUCACAAGGCACUUUAAUAACCAUGUCUUAUGUUUGACUAGAAA